rnacentral:tRNA from 1 species
GCAUUGGUGGUUCAGUGGUAGAAUUCUCGCCUUCCAACUGGGAGACCUGGGUUCAAUUUCUUGGCAAUACA